UACGUAGGGUGCAAGCGUUGUCCGGAAUUAUUGGGCGUAAAGAGCUCGUAGGUGGCCUGUCGCGUCGGCUGUGAAAACUCGGGGCUCAACUCCGAGCUUGCAGUCGAUACGGGCAGGCUAGAGUUCGGCAGGGGAGACUGGAAUUCCUGGUGUAGCGGUGAAAUGCGCAGAUAUCAGGAGGAACACCGGUGGCGAAGGCGGGUCUCUGGGCCGAUACUGACGCUGAGGUGCGAAAGCGUGGGGAGCAAACAGG
rnacentral:rRNA from 1 species